ensembl:snoRNA U8 U8 small nucleolar RNA
UCGUCAGUGCGGUACAUCCUGACCUGCCCCGCCCUCGGUGCGGGCAGCACGUGAUGAGGCGCGGCGUGAUGACGUGCGUGAUUACGUCACCCCGCGGGGCGAGGGGGGCGGGUCCUCACGCAGCAACACCCCCUUGCUCCGGUCACUCUGAC